rnacentral:rRNA from 1 species
GAUGAACGCUGACAGAAUGCUUAACACAUGCAAGUCUACUUGAACUUCGGUUUGGGUGGCGGACGGGUGAGUAACGCGUAAAGAACUUGCCUCACAGAUAGGGACAACAUUUGGAAACGGAUGCUAAUACCUGAUAUUAUGAUUUUAGGGCAUCCUAGAAUUAUGAAAGCUAUAUGCACUGUGAGAGAGCUUUGCGUCCCAUUAGCUAGUUGGAGAGGUAACGGCUCACCAAGGCGAUGAUGGGUAGCCGGCCUGAGAGGGUGAUCGGCCACAAGGGGACUGAGACACGGCCCUUACUCCUACGGGAGGCAGCAGUGGGGAAUAUUGGACAAUGGACCAAGAGUCUGAUCCAGCAAUUCUGUGUGCACGAUGAAGUUUUUCGGAAUGUAAAGUGCUUUCAGUUGGGAAGAAAAAAAUGACGGUACCAACAGAAGAAGUGACGGCUAAAUACGUG